UCGAGCGAGAGGAAGUGCAAUACUUUAGUAAAGCGGCGCANNNNUGAGUAACACGUGGAUAACCUGCCUCGAAGUGGGGAAUAACCCCGGGAAACCGGAGCUAAUACCGCAUAACCUGACGAGAUCUGUGGAUUUUGUCAGUAAAGGAGCAAUUCGCUUUAAGAGGGGUCCGCGGCUGAUUAGCUAGUUGGUGAGGUAAUGGCUCACCAAGGCCACGAUCAGUAGCCGGUCUGAGAGGACGGUCGGCCACACUGGAACUGAGACACGGUCCAGACUCCUACGGGAGGCAGCAGUGGGGAAUUUUUCGCAAUGGGGGCAACCCUGACGAAGCAACGCCGCGUGGGUGAUGAAGUAUUUCGGUACGUAAAACCCUUUCGACGGGGACGAAACCGCAAGGUUGACGGUACCCGUAGAAGAAGCCCCGGCUAACUCCGUGCCAGCAGCCGCG
rnacentral:rRNA from 1 species